rnacentral:lncRNA from 1 species
UCACUUCUAUGUUCGGAACUGCUGUACUAGUACCGGCUUUUGAAAUGAAGUGUUUGUGUACAAAUAAUGUACCAUGAUAAAAAUGACUUCAAAUUAAUUCAUCAAACCUAAAUUGAAUAAGUGCACCUACUAAUUUAUAUUUAUUUGUCAUCGGUCCGAAGCUUGAGUAGUGAAUACGGAAAACACUGGUAGUUUUAUCACUAUACAAAUGCAAAUUAACCUAAUCUGUUUGUCAGUGCUAUCUUAUCAUAAUGAAAUUCAUAGUCGAUUCAUGGAAAACAUUGAUUGAUAAUUUAUAAUUUGUUAUUUAUGUAAAGAAGUGUGAGUCAUGUAAUAAGGAAGAAAAAUGAGUAGAACAAUAAAAACAGUUUUCUUUGUGGUACUGUUUGCUACCAGCCUAGGUGAUAAGAAAUGUGAUUUUACCAGCUUGCUUCAGCAAGAAUGUUCAGCUAAUGAGUCGUGUGAUGAGUCUAAUACUUGCCGAUGUCUACCUGAUUUUGAACUGAAAGACAAUAUUUGUGUCCACAAAGUGAACAAUGAUGCCAAUUCUGCAAAUUAUUCCGAUCUGGUUGAUAACCAAGGAAGUGGGUCUCUAGCUGCUGGAAUUUUAGUUCCUCUCUUUUUAAUAGUAUUUGUUAUGUGUGGUUUAUAUCUAACUAGGAAAUACAACCUCGUUCAUUGGUUCAGAAACCGAUUUCUUAGGAGAAAUGAGAACUAUGAUGAAUUCAUGAUAGGUCAUGAUCUUGAUGACGACGAUGAACCUCUUCAGUAAAUAUGAUUGUAAAGGUACUUGAUGAAAGCCAUUCCUAAUUUCAUAUUCGGUUCCAUGAUAGGAUUGUAAAACAUUACUGUGACUACAAUUGUUGCUAUUGCAUGCAUAUUAACAGUGAACAAUAUUUGUAUGUAUUAUACUUGGGCUAGGUUCCGAUAAUUAAUGUUUGAUGAUCUUUUUCACUCGAUACUGAUUUUUCGCAUUCCCCAAGUAAUGUUGUUAUUGUUACUGAUAGAGGUCUCAAAAAAUGUUCUACCAAAAAUCUUUCAUAUUGAGAAAUCUCUUACUCAGGGGAUUCCCCAGAUUUCCAUUCAAAAUGAAAUUCUAAAGUUUUUGUGAAGGUCAUCUGUUGAUAAGAUCUGCUUCAGUUGAUACUCAAAACCAGUUCUAGCUGUGCCAUAUAAAAAUUCAAAUCAAUCUCUUUUGAAAUUGAUGGCCGUAGGGUUUUGAUAGUUUGCAGGUUUCAACAUGAAUGAAAAUCAUCUAUUUUGAAUCUCGUAUAUUUAUUGUUUCACUGCUAAGUGAAGUUUUCAUAGAUAUUUGGUUUUCAACACAAAUAGAGAAUGCUGGUACAUCUAAAUUGCAAAUUUAUGAUUAGCAAUUUUUUUAUAAAAUAGAUGAAUAUUUGUGUGCAAUGAACAAUGUUUUCUGAAACCUGAAAAAAAUCUAGAGCUUUUUGAAAUGGCUUAAUAUUUCCUCCAAGAGGAAAAUGUGCCUAAUUAUAGCCAGUAUCUGAUGUGAUUUUUAAUUUUUGCUCAUUCAAAAACGUAGUAUUUGAAAGACUUUGCCAUUUUUAUUUUUAGAUGUUAUUGUACAUGUUAGAAAGAGUUUUGUAUAUUUGUUACUUUCCUGAGUUAAUGUAUAUUGACAAGUACAAUCCGUGAACCAAAGGAUAUUUUACUAUGUAAGUAAUGAAAAUAAAACGCUAAUUUAUUACUCU